GGGGGCGUACCGGUUUCGACGGGGAUGAUGAUUUUCGAGCUGCGCGUCGUGGCGCCCAUGGCCACGUAAAAAUGGGCAAAACUGCAACCGCGAACGAUAACAACGCUGUUGCUCUCGCCGCCUGAAAAAAAUCAGGUAGCGACGGUGUCUUGAGCUUCCGUCUGUAGCCCAAGAACACCGCCACAAUCAGGCUAGGCCUUCCGAAGUGUCAGUGCAGGAAGGCCGAGAUCAGCUGACUUGUUGUGCUCGCAGGCCGGCCGCUGCCGUCGAGCACGAGACCACGUAAAUAGCGUGCCUACACGCGAAGACGCUCGAUCUAAGGCAUUUCCGGACGCGGGUUCGACUCCCGCCGCUUCCACUA
rnacentral:tmRNA from 1 species